rnacentral:rRNA from 1 species
UACGGAGAAGGCAAGCGCUAUCCGGAAUUAUUGGGCGUAAAGCGUCCGUAGGUGGUUGACCAAGUCUGCUGUCAAAGGGUGGGGCUUAACCUCAUAAAGGCAGUGGAAACUGGUGAGCUAGAGUGCGGUAGGGGUAAGGGGAAUUCCCAGUGUAGCGGUGAAAUGCGUAGAGAUUGGGAAGAACAUCGGUGGCGAAAGUGCCUUGCUGGGCCUGCAAUGACACUGAGGGACGAAAGCUAGGGGAGCGAAAGGG